rnacentral:rRNA from 1 species
AGAGUUUGAUCCUGGCUCAGGACGAACGCUGGCGGCGUGCUUAACACAUGCAAGUCGAACGAGGUGCUUGCACCUAGUGGCGAACGGGUGAGUAACACGUGAGCAACCUGCCUCUGGCUCUGGGAUAGCCUCCGGAAACGGGGAUUAAUACCGGACAUGACCCCGGGUCGCAUGACCUGGGGUGGAAAGUUUUUCGGCCA